rnacentral:rRNA from 1 species
AGCGAACGCUGGCGGCAGGCUUAACACAUGCAAGUCGAGCGGGCACUUCGGUGUCAGCGGCAGACGGGUGAGUAACACGUGGGAACGUACCCUUUGGUUCGGAAUAACGCUGGGAAACUAGCGCUAAUACCGGAUACGCCCUUUUGGGGAAAGGCUUGCUGCCGAAGGAUCGGCCCGCGUCUGAUUAGCUAGUUGGUGGGGUAAUGGCCUACCAAGGCGACGAUCAGUAGCUGGUCUGAGAGGAAGAUCAGCCACACUGGGACUGAGACACGGCCCAGACUCCUACGGGAGGCAGCAGUGGGGAAUAUUGGACAAUGGGCGCAAGCCUGAUCCAGCCAUGCCGCGUGAGUGAUGAAGGCCUUAGGGUUGUAAAGCUCUUUUGUCCGGGACGAUAAUGACGGUACCGGAAGAAUAAGCCCCGGCUAACUUCGUG